CUCACGCCCCAGAUGUCACUGCUGGAAGGCCUUAGAGAUCAUUUGAAUGUCACUAGAAUUUUGGGUCCCUGAGGGCAGGGCCUUUGUUUUGUUCCCUAUUGUAACUCCAGAGCCCAGAGUAGAGUCUGGCACAUAGUAUAUGCUAAAUAAGCAUUUGCUGGGUAAAUGAAAAGCUCUAGCUCAAUCCCCACUUAAUUUAUGGAGGAGAAAGUUAAGCCUAGGAAGUAGAGGUGACAGAGCUAGGACUGUAACUCCACAUUUCCUUGUCCUCUUUUGGAGUCCUCUCUCUCUGAUCCUUAAAACCCCAGAAUUUCCCAGGCUGCCAGGAUUAAAUGAGGUAAACUAUAAAACUUUCCAGCCUGUGCCCAGUAUGUCGUAGAUGCUCAAAUAAUAUGAAUUUCUCCCCCCGCCCCCCUU
rnacentral:lncRNA from 1 species